UCCAACGGUGAGACAUUCCCGGAGUUCGGUGCUGAGAGCAGCGGAGACCGUUCAUCCAUGCCUUCGUCGGCCAUGGCGGCAACAGUUCACCCAACCCAGACGAAUAAACAACGAGCUGAACGGCGGCAGAGCCUCUCUUCUGGCCAGUGUUUCCUUGGGAGGGGGGCGGCCAGCUAAUCGGCGGUAGCCUACUGUUCUGGCGAGGCCAGUUCGUCGGAGGUGGAGCUACAGAGACCUAAACCGGACCCGCUGUGGGAGGGAUAUGAGCAACGGAAUGCAGAGAGAGCGAAAUCCCCCCAAACCAACCCGUUACCCUCAUGCACAGUGGUGACAUGACAUUUAGUAGGCCUGCAUCUUAUAAUAAUUCUCAUUUAAACAGUUUGCAUCCUCCAAAAGAUCGAUUGUAGGUCUAAUAAACUACUGUUGAUAGCCUUGAUUCUAUUCUCUGUUUUAAAAUAUUCAACAAAACUAUCUAAGAAUCUACAAUGUUAUAUUCUGAUCUUGGUGAUAGACGAGGAGAAUUCCCUUGUAAAAAAAAAACAUGUGAUGAAACGACACUGAACGUUAUGCUGCAGGGAGAAGGGCCAAACCUCCCUAAAAGAGGCCUCGUCCCCCGUAUCCAUGAAUCUCUAGUGACGUCCCUGGUAUGCUGUCUGAGUGAUAUAGUUACGUGCAUCGUGCGUAUGGACUGGGAGAACAAACGUCUGAAGGAACUCAAGAAGAAAGCUGACACUCAUUGAGUUCAAUUAUAACAAACUAUAAAGUCAAGCAUGGGUGGAAAUUGACUAAAAUGUGGUAACCCACCAAUGUAAAAACCUAUGCAUUCACAAAAUCAAAUGACAAAAUCAUUUCACUCCCGGAGACUCCCUUGCAUACACACAGAGAGAAAGGCAGAGAGACUGAAGGAGAGAAAGGCAGAGAGACUGAAAAUAAUACUACCACCUAACUAUGUCAGGACUGAGAGAAU